rnacentral:rRNA from 1 species
UACGGAGGAUGCAAGCGUUAUCCGGAUUCAUUGGGUUUAAAGGGUGCGUAGGCGGGCUAUUAAGUCAGUGGUGAAAUCCUGCAGCUUAACUGCAGAACUGCCGUUGAUACUGAUAGUCUUGAGUUUGGUCAAGGCAGGCGGAAUGUGUAAUGUAGCGGUGAAAUGCUUAGAUAUUACACAGAACACCGAUUGCGAAGGCAGCUUGCUGGGCCAUUACUGACGCUGAUGCACGAAAGCGUGGGGAG